rnacentral:rRNA from 1 species
UUGACCUCGGAUCAGGUAGGAGUUACCCGCUGAACUUAAGCAUAUCA